rnacentral:lncRNA from 1 species
AUGGAGAAAACUCCAUCAGUGUGGGUAUGGCACCCUCAGGAUCUAAGCUGUCUAAACUUGCAGGCUGGUUUCACUAGCUUAGGGCAUCCCAGAGCUAAUGUUUAUAAGCCAAGGGCCAAAUUAAAGCAAGAAAGAAUCAUAUCAAUGUCGAGGCUGAGAAAGUUCACGGGGGCAGGAAGGAGGCCCUGGAGAAGGAGGCAAGGAAAGCAAGAGGAAAGGGAUCCAUCUUCUUCUCCCUCCCACUACCAACCCCAACCUGGAGUCCCAGAAACACUAUGCAGAGCCCACCUAGUACCCCUCAAUGUAUGUUCAUCUUCUUUGAUAAUAGAACCUCAAACGUCAGCUGGCUACACGGCUUCAAACAACAAAAGACUACAUUUCCCAGCUUUCCCUGCAGCAAGGAAUAUUAAGAAGCAGGAAGACACCCAAAACUCUACAGGACUUUGCAUGAGAAUGAUAUCUGUAGUCCAUGGCAGUUUUAAAACAGGUUUGCAGAUUUGCUGACACUCCUUCCACUGAAAGGCAGGUCCCACGUUCCUCCCCCUGGAUCUGGGCUGAGCUUCGGUGACUCAUCAGCCAGUGGACACAGAAUAUUCUCACCCUGUCCCUAGGAACCCCCCCUCAAAGGCUCACCACGGAUGUCCUCAGGCUCAAGGCCCCGGGGUCUCACCAUCUAAAGCAGGUCCAGGUGCAGAGGAGCUCCUCAGGUACAGCUCAACAAGCACAGGUGCCCAGUGGGAGAGAAGGGAGAAUGAGCAUAGAAAACCCUGUCAAGGGGGAUCCCUGGGUGGCUUAGCGGUUUAGUGCCUGCCUUGGGCCCAGGGCAUGAUCCUGGAGUCCCAGGAUCGAGUCCCACAUCGGGCUC